GACGAACGCUGGCGGCGUGCUUAACACGUGCAAGUCGAACGAAAAGAGGGAAAGAGCUUGCUCUUUCCGGAAUUGAGUGGCAAACGGGUGAGUAACACGUAAACAACCUGCCUUCAGGAUGGGGACAACAGACGGAAACGACUGCUAAUACCGAAUAAGUUCCAAGGGCCGCAUGGCCCAUGGAAGAAAAGGUGGCCUCUACCUGUAAGCUAUCGCCUGAAGAGGGGUUUGCGUCUGAUUAGCUGGUUGGAGGGGUAACGGCCCACCAAGGCGACGAUCAGUAGCCGGUCUGAGAGGAUGAACGGCCACACUGGAAUUGAGACACGGUCCAGACUCCUACGGGAGGCAGCAGGGGGGAAUCUUCCGCAAUGGGCGAAAGCCUGACGGAGCAACGCCGCGUGGGUGAUGACGGCCUUCGGGUUGUAAAACUCUGUGAUCCGGGACGAAAAGGCAGAGUGCGAAGAACAAACUGCAUUGACGGUACCGGAAAAGCAAGCCACGGCUAACUACGUG
rnacentral:rRNA from 1 species